CCUGCACGGCCGCCGGUGAAUCAAAAAGGGUCCCAGGAAACCUGUGAAUGUUGAAGAAAAUUCGUCUGUGAAUUUUUGGUAUUCAAGGAGGAGUCAGUAUUUAUAUUCAUCUUUUAAACUGGGAAGAUUUAUAUUUUAUUUUAAAACUUCUUGAUAUUUACAAUGAAUGGACACAGUGAUGAAGAAAGUGUUAGAAACAGUAGUGGAGAAUCAAGCCCCUUCAGGAUGCAGACCUGAAAAUGAGGCUCAGAGCGGCAGUGACUUACCAAAUAUCACACAUCUGGGACCUAGAGAAGUUCUGACUGGUAUUCUAUGUGAUGUCCUACUCCUUGUACUUCAUCCAUCUCUAAGUGUGUGCAUUAGACACAUGUGACACCAGCCCACAGGUGUUAUAUAAAGCUUUAGGAAUCUCUCAAAUCCCAUUGAUAAGAGACAGGAUGUCUCCCCUGGAUUAUCCACUGAUUGGAUUAUCCACUCCCUUCCUCCAUAAAAGGGGAAUCAGAGGCAGAACUCACUGCAUUUUCCAGCAAUCCACGGGCUGUCUGCACAUCAGGAGUGGGGUCAGCAGGACAACUCUGCAGCCAUGGAGGAACCUGCAUCGGCCUGUUUUCCAAGCCAGCCUAUUCUGGUGAGUGUGGAAUCCAUACAGAUGGAAAGA